rnacentral:rRNA from 1 species
UCGCCUGUUUAUCAAAAACAUGUCUGGAGAAAAUCUCCAGUCGAUCUGCCCAGUGUCCAAUCAACGGCCGCAGUACUUUGACUGUGCUAAGGUAGCAUAAUCACUAGGUCUCUAAUUAAGGCCUCGAAUGAAAGACUUGACGAGAAAUUAACUGUCUCUUUUAUGCUAUGAAAUUACCUGGAGAGUCAAAAGUCUCUUCCUCCUCAAUGGGACGACAAGACCCUAUAAAACUUUACCUUUACACUAACUUUAAAAUAAGAUCAAUUCCUCAUUAGAUUAAAGGUUCAGCUGGGGCGGCUAUGUUUACUCCCAACAAACAUUAAUAAAACGCUUUGAGCGACUUUAAAGAACGUAUUCAACGCAGACCAAGUUACUUUAGGGAUAACAGCAUUAUACCUUUUCAGAGUCCUUAUCGUUAAAGGUGCGUAUGACCUCGAUGUUGAAUUGGAUCCUCUCUGUGAAGCAAUAUUUACAGCAGAAAGUCUGUUCGACUUUUAAAGUUCCACAUGAUCUGAGUUCCAAACCGGA